UUUAAAGUAGGGGGACCAUAUAAUUUAUUGUCUGAACCCAGGCACUCUUUUGAGGGAGAGAAGAGGCACUAAAAGUAAUUAACAGGUAUUAACUGAUCAACAACCAUGGACCCAGACCAAAAAGGGCGCAUGGCCGCUGGAACGGUAAGGCUUUAUGGAGGGUCUGGUUGAAGAAGUUCACAUCCGCCAGCUAUUAAUGAACUCUUGCUCAGGAAAGGCCUCUGUCUGCCUGUGGCUCCUGCAGUCACGUGAUUCCAACCCAGCUACCUAACCCAGUGGUUCUACAAGCAAGGUCCACGAACGGAAAUGGCCUGAGGAGGUUGUUCAGACUGCAGGUGCCUCGUCCUUACUUCAGAUCUCCUAAGUCAGAAUCCCUGAGGAUGCUGCCCGUGCCCCUGCAUUUCGACACACCUCCCAGCCCAUCAGCCAGGACCCCUUGUCUGACUUUCCAAUGCCUCUGCCGUCAAGCUCCUGUUCUCAUUUAACUGGACGCCUUCACUGAGUUCUUCCCAUCAGCCCAGAGACUGACACUAAGCCAAGUCUACGACACUACAUGUAAACGCGGUCCUCUGCUCCCGACAUGUAAAAGUUGGGAGUUACUAGCUGCAAAUUGCCUCGUGCCCCGACUUGCUCUGUGCCUGUGAGAGAGCCGAGACCUCCCAGUACCUCGGGUUCCUCAUCUGCGGAGGGUAAUUGCUGUCCCUCCAGCUACCCAGCUCCAGCAGUUUUCACGGGAAGAAAAGCACAGGUGCAUUGUCAGACAUCUGGAACCUGGCUGGGAGACAAUUUCCAGAGAGGGCCAAGGUGGUGUUCUGUUGUGACCACUGGGAUUGAAGACAUGGUUCUAUUUCCUCCUCUUUCUGUUAAACUGAACUUCAGCUACAGACAUUAAUACCCUCACUGCAUGGUAAGGAGGGGGCUCUAUUUUUACAAGUGCCACAGGAUCGAGCCCUAAUGUGUUACGCUGUGACCUUUGCUGGCUCUGCACCAGGGAACCGUAAUUUGGGGCUCACCCUGGCUUUGGAAACCUCCGUAGGCUUCAUAUGAUAUGCAUGGUAUUGCAUGUUCUAUAACUGGCCCGCAUUUCCUUACAACCUUCCCAGUUAGUUUCUGAAGUCUCUCUAUAGACUUUUUUUAACUCCAAAAGUCCAUAGUGUUUCUUAACAGGGAUCUAGCCCCUGUAAGGGACUGUGGAGAGAAUAAGGCUGGUUUAGGGCCUCAGGGAGGCUGGGGUGGGGCAACGGAAGCCAUUCUGUGACUGUUCAUUCCCUGAAUGAGGAUUUUGAGCCUUGGGGCCUAUCACCAGGCUGCAGUCAUUUCCAGUAGAUGGGGAUACAGGAAGGAAUUUAGAAGUCAGACCAUAUCUAGCCCUCGCUAAAUUGGAUUCUAAGUUCUCCUAACCUUGAGGAGGAGAGGGUCAGUAUAGGACCCAGAGCCUGUGAUACAGGGUGCAGCCAGGGGCCCCCCCCCAAAAAAAAAGAUUUAGAAAGGUGUCCAGAAUUCAAAGUGUAUAGAAAUAUUGGAGAGACAUAUAAGAUGUCCUUACCGCCCCCCCCCCAGGGGGAAGGGAUGAAUGGAGCCAGGCCAUUGAGAGCUGUUUUGCAUAGCAACAGUUUUGCAGCUAACCUCUGGAAUGAUUAUUUAACAUAUCUAUAACCUUUAACUGGUUUCAUAGAUAUGUUAAAUAGCUGUGGCCAAGUUUGGAGCCAGGGAGAAGGUUGUGGGAGGGACUCAAGAUGGGAACUAAGGUCUGCACUCCUGAGAGAGAAGGGAGUAGCUUGGGUACUCAAGAUGGAACUAGCGGGGACUCAGGAGGAUAUAACUAAGGUCUGCACUCCUGAGUGAGAAGGGCUUGGACUCAGGAGGUAAUGAGGGGCUGUGCCCCUGAGGGGGGGUGCCGCUGUGUGGGAGCUUGGAAAAGACUGGCUCCAGGACAUGAAGGGUCCCCGCUUGGCCAGAUGGAGAGAGAGCCACGCGGUUUCAGCAGAGUGAGGACCCCCUCUUGGUGAGGUGAAAGAGGGAGCCACGUGGUUUUGGCAGGGUGCAGACCCCCUCUUUCCCAGGUGAAAGGGAAAAACCACGCAGCUUUGCCAGAAUGGAGAUCCCUGCAGCCAGGUGAAGAAGAAAGCCACAUGCUUUUGGUGGAGUGCGGACUCCUGCAGCUUUGGUAGAAGAGGCCCACGCGGCUUUAGGGUGCCCCCUUUGGCCGUGGGGCCUGAAAAGCAAGAGAGACUUUGAUUGGAACUGGGUACAAAGGACUCUUGCCAGUGGACCAUGAGAGGGUACCACAGUACUUUGGAUUAACUCGAGAUCCUGCACAGUGACACAGCUGACGGUGCCAGCGACCUGCAACACAGACGUGUGCUCUUUUCCUGAUUUACGGUACCCGGAGUUGGGACAGUGGGAGAAGGGAGCGCUGUGUGGGUGUAGGUGUUUACCCUAAAGGACUUUGAUAUUUUAGUGGUGGCAUUAGGCCUGAAUAGCAGCAUUAAAGAAACAUUUU